AGCCAAACUGCACAUGUGGACAGCUGAAAUUUAUUGUCGGAAAGUUGAGUCUUACGAUAUCAUUUAUGUUUUGUUGAGUAGGCACCAAUCAACAUGCCAAGUCGGAUACCAUGUGGAUUAAAAAAAAUCCAAAACAUGAAAAGACCUAAGUACCCUCCUAUUCUCUCCAUAUUCCAAACACCUAAUCACUAAUUGAUCGGAAAAAAUUCCAUAGAAAUAGAAAGGAAGACAUAAGCAACAACCAGAAGCAAAGACUUGAAGCAUUCCAUUUUUUUCAAUGGCAUGUUCAACAAAUCCACUCACUUCAAGCAUCCCUAAACCUACCUUUGAGUAUGGCUUUUUGAGACUAUAGCUACCUCAAAAUUCUCAAUCAUCAUUCCUCCUGCUGUCCCCUACUCCCCUGCCACUAUUGAUAGAAUAAAGAAUGUAUGUAAGAAAGAAAUGAAUAAACUUGCUUAUUGU
rnacentral:lncRNA from 1 species